GGCUGACAAAAUCCUAUCCCCACCUCCACGUGGUGUCAGCCGGAAGGUAGUAACAACAGCUACUACACUAACGGGGAAGG
rnacentral:ribozyme from 1 species